GAUAAUCUAGCAAAUCGACUUCCAAGAAAAGCGAAUGAAGCAGCCCGUACCCUAAACCGACACAGGUAGUUGGGAUGAGAAUUCUAAGGAGCUCGAGAGAUUCAUGGCUAAGGAACUAGGCAAAAUAGACCUGUAACUUCGGGAGAAAGGUCGCCACCCUUUGGGGUGGCCGCAGUGAAAAGGUCCAGGCGACUGUUUAUCAAAAACACAGGGCUCUGCUAAAUCGAAAGAUGAUGUAUAGGGCCUGACACCUGCCCGGUGCUGGAAGGUUAAG
rnacentral:rRNA from 14 species